rnacentral:snRNA from 1 species
AUACUUACCUGGCAGGGGAGAUACCACGAUCACGAAGGUGGUUUUCCCAGCGCGAGGCUUAGCCAUUGCACUCCAGGUGUGCUGACCCCGGCGAGUUCCCCGAAUGCAGGAAACUUGGCUGCAUAAUUUGUGGUAGUGGGGACUGCAUUUGCGCUCUCCCUU